GAGCCCGAGUAAACGGCGGCCGUAACUAUAACGGUCCUAAGGUAGCGAAAUUCCUUGUCGGUUAAAUACCGACCUGCAUGAAUGGCGUAACGAGAUGGGAGCUGUCUCAACCAGAGAUUCAGUGAAAUUGUAGUGGAGGUGAAAAUUCCUCCUACCCGCGGCAAGACGGAAAGACCCCGUGGACCUUUACUACAACUUAGCACUGCUAACGGGAAUAUCAUGCGCAGGAUAGGUGGGAGGCUUUGAAGUAAGGGCUUUGGCUCUUAUGGAGUCA
rnacentral:rRNA from 1 species